AUUGAACGCUGGCGGCAUGCCUUACACAUGCAAGUCGAACGGUAACGCGGGGCAACCUGGCGACGAGUGGCGAACGGGUGAGUAACGCAUCGGAACGUGCCCUGUAGUGGGGGAUAGCCCGGCGAAAGCCGGAUUAAUACCGCAUACGACCUAAGGGUGAAAGCGGGGGACCGCAAGGCCUCGCGCUAUUGGAGCGGCCGAUGUCAGAUUAGGUUGUUGGUAGGGUAAAAGCCUACCAAGCCGACGAACUGUAGCUGGUCUGAGAGGACGACCAGCCACACUGGGACUGAGACACGGCCCAGACUCCUACGGGAGGCAGCAGUGGGGAAUUUUGGACAAUGGGCGCAAGCCUGAUCCAGCCAUGCCGCGUGCGGGAAGAAGGCCUUCGGGUUGUAAACCGCUUUUGUCAGGGAAGAAAUCCUUUGGGCUAACACCUCGAAGGGAUGACGGUACCUGAAGAAUAAGCACCGGCUAACUACGUGCCAGCAGCCGCCGUAACAC
rnacentral:rRNA from 1 species